rnacentral:rRNA from 1 species
UACAGAGGUCUCAAGCGUUGUUCGGAUUCAUUGGGCGUAAAAGGGUGCGUAGGCGGCGCGGUAAGUCGGGUGUGAAAUUUCGAGGCUUACUUCGAAACUGCAUUCGAUACUGCCGUGCUUGAGGACUGGAGAGGAGACUGGAAUUUACGGUGUAGCGGUGAAAUGCGUAGAUAUCGUAAGGAAGACCAGUGGCGAAGGCGGGUCGUCUGGACAG